AGUGAACGCUGGCGGUAGGCCUAACACAUGCAAGUCGAACGGCAGCACAGUAAGAGCUUGCUCUUACGGGUGGCGAGUGGCGGACGGGUGAGGAUUACAUCGGAAUCUACUUUUUCGUGGGGGAUAACGUAGGGAAACUUACGCUAAUACCGCAUACGACCUACGGGUGAAAGCAGGGGAUCUUCGGACCUUGCGCGAUUGAAUGAGCCGAUGUCGGAUUAGCUAGUUGGCGGGGUAAAGGCCCACCAAGGCGACGAUCCGUAGCCGGUCUGAGAGGAUGAUCAGCCACACUGGAACUGAGACACGGUCCAGACUCCUACGGGAGGCAGCAGUGGGGAAUAUUGGACAAUGGGCGCAAGCCUGAUCCAGCCAUACCGCGUGGGUGAAGAAGGCCUUCGGGUUGUAAAGCCCUUUUGUUGGGAAAGAAAAGCAGCAGGUUAAUACCCCGCUGUUCUGACGGUACCCAAAGAAUAAGCACCGGCUAACUUCGUG
rnacentral:rRNA from 1 species